GUGGGGAAUCUUAGACAAUGGGGGCAACCCUGAUCUAGCCAUGCCGCGUGAUCGAUGAAGGCCUUCGGGUUGUAAAGCACUUUUGGCAGGAAAGAAAUAGUGCGUGCUAAUACCAUGCGCGAAUGACGGUACCUGCAGAAUAAGCACCGGCUAACUACGUGCCAGCAGCCGCGGUAAGACGUAGGGUGCAAGCGUUAAUCGGAAUUACUGGGCGUAAAGCGUGCGCAGGCGGUUUUGUAAGACAGGUGUGAAAUCCCCGGGCUCAACCUGGGAACUGCACUUGUGACUGCAAGGCUAGAGUGUGUCAGAGGGAGGUGGAAUUCCGCGUGUAGCAGUGAAAUGCGUAGAGAUGCGGAGGAACACCGAUGGCGAAGGCAGCCUCCUGGGAUAACACUGACGCUCAGGCACGAAAGCGUGGGGAGCAAACAGGAUUAGAUACCCCAGUAGUCC
rnacentral:rRNA from 1 species